GUCAAUUUAAAAGCUUGGUUUUGUGCGCGUGUUCCAUUAGCUAAAGUAGAUAAUUGGGUAUUACACUAUUACUAUAUAUUUGAUUUUUCCUCAUUCCAUUGGCAUAUAUUAAAGAUGUUGCAUUUUCGGAAGAAGGAAUACUCUAUGUAUGCAUAUAUAACUGAAUAACACAGAAUGCGUAGGACUCUGCUUGAAUUUGUUAAUUUCCCUGGGGUUGUAAAAAUAAAGGAUAUUUUAU